UGUACACCAAGGAGGCCACCUGUGCCGCCUUUUGGUUCUCUGGCCCUUUUCUCACGGGCCGCCCGAAAUCCUUUGGUGGGCCACAAGCAGCCUGUGUGCCGUAUGUUGUGCAGGUCUGAUCUAAUUUUCUAUGUCAUUUGCUAAAUCUUGAAUAAAAAUUUAAAGAAAACAGAGCAUCUUGUGAAAAAGGCUAAUGUGAGUUAUGGGUGAUUUUCAAUGUUUUAUUCAAUGAUGUAAAUUCCAGAAGAAUAAAGGUUCCCCU